rfam:Kocuria palustris PEL contig_25, whole genome shotgun sequence.
GGCUUUUUUCGCAGCGGAGCUCGACCGCCCACAGCGCUGAUCGUGGAGUUCAUCGACCAGCACAAGCAGAAGUUCGGUGCUCACACCGAUCUGCCGCACGCUCAUGUCGGCGGGCACGCAGAACGCACCG